CAGAACUAGCUCUGCUUUCCCACACGAGGCCCUUGUUGCACACUUUUCACCCUGUGGCUGUGAGGAAGCUCCUUGAUCUUAAACAGCCUGAACAGCUCACACACAUCUGAGGGACAGAAGGGCAUAAAACUGAAGUGUGUUUGAGAAGAAAAUCUGAGUGGAACAAAAUAUUUUCUUUAUCAGUAAUCAAUUUUUGUAGCUUUGUUAGAAAACUCUUGGCCCUGUUAAUUGCUUUAAAAAGUAUGUUUUAUUGCUUGAAAGAUCUCUUUUAUCAUGGAAAACUGUCGAGUUCAGGAGGAGAAAAAGGAACAUUAUAUUAAUGGGAAAAGGAGAAUGAUUUUGUUAGUCUUGAUGUACUUUUAAAGAAUUUGAAUUAAGCUACUGACACUCCAUCUGAUUUUCUGCAGUGCUGUACAAUCUGCUCCUCAUGAUCUGAACCUUGAGCAAGGCACAAACAUUUCACACCUGACAGGACCCUCCUUGUGCCCAGGGAACAAACUGCUGGAGGACCUCAUGCCCACCCUGAGCCUGGGGUGCUCCAGAGCCACCCAGCCUUCAUUUGAUAAAGCUGUUCAGGAACAGACUGAAAAUGAAUGAUCAGUCAGAAGGGAAAAAACUCCUGACGAGAAAGGGGAAAUAAAAAGCCUAGAAAAAUUUUAAUCACUGUAAAUGUUGAGAUAAUGGCAUUGCUCUUCAAGCAUUAGCUUUCUAGCAAAUACCAUGGACCUGAACUAUCAGAUGAGAAGAAAGGCGGAGCUGUCUUCAGCUGCUCCUCACACGGCUUUGGCACAACUGGUCAGGAAUGGGAGGAAAUGGCCACUGGAACAACGUCUGGAGAAACAGCAAGGAAAAAUGAUGGGCAUUAGAGAAGGUUUAGGGGAUUUCUGCUAUUUAAGGAUCUUAAGAAUUACUUUGUUGUCAGAAACUGAUGCAUGAUUCUUAUUUUGUUUCCACAGUGUAAAGUGAUUUGCUGCAAUAAAGCAUUUCAAUCUGCAACUGA